rnacentral:rRNA from 1 species
CCCUUAGAUGUUCUGGGCUGCACGCGCGCUACACUGAUGCGCUCAACGAGUUUAUGACCUUGCCCGGAAGGGUUGGGUAAUCUUUUCAAAACACAUCGUGAUGGGGAUAGAUUAUUGCAAUUAUUAAUCUUCAACGAGGAAUUCCUAGUAAGCGCGAGUCAUCAGCUCGUGCUGAUUACGUCCCUGCCCUUUGUACACACCGCCCGUCGCUCCUACCGAUUGAAUGUUCCGGUGAGCUCUUCGGACUGCGCGGUCUGCAGUUUCUGCGUUCCGUGCGGAAAGUUGCGCAAACCUUAACAUUUAGAGGAAGGAGAAGUCGUAACA